UCAGGCCCGCGGCUCGCGCCGUCUCUGCCGUCGCCGGACACGACCUGGAAAUGGAAGUCCAUGUCUAGGGAAUAGCUUUCCGUGGCGGGAGGGCGCGAGGGCGGCCCGUCCCUUUCGGACCAAAUUGAAAACCGGAGGCGGCCGGGCGGGAAGCCCGCGCCUGUCUCCCUCCCCCCACCCCCUCCUUGCUCCAGGCGCGAGCGGAGGAGACGGAGCCAGCUGCGGACUCCCCGAGGCCAUCUUUGAGACGGGCAGACGCACAGUCCGUGUUACUAACCCUGUUAAUUAACAUCGGGUGAGCAGAGAAUGGUUUUGAUGAAGGCAAAUGAGGAGGGAGGCUCGUCGUCGUCGUCGUCGUCGUCGUCUCCACCAGCGAGAUUUUAAAAAACCCUGGAACCUGAAGAGGUUGUCCCAGUGGUGGAUCCUAAUGGGACCCCCAAAAUGGAAUGGAAAGGCUGGAAUAUCGUAGGAGGUGCUUAUCGGGACUGUGGCACGGAAUUCCUAAGCAAAGGAGGUUGGUUUCUGUUGCCCAGAUGAACCCUGGAAACCCUGCGAUAA